UACGUAGGGUGCAAGCGUUAUCCGGAAUUAUUGGGCGUAAAGAGCUCGUAGGCGGUUUGUCGCGUCUGCUGUGAAAACCCGAGGCUCAACCUCGGGCCUGCAGUGGGUACGGGCAGACUAGAGUGCGGUAGGGGGAGAAUGGAAUUCCUGGUGUAGCGGUGGAAUGCGCAGAUAUCAGGAAGAACACCCGUGGCGAAAGCGGCUCUCUGGAACGGUACUGACGCUGAGACGCGAAAGCGUGGGGAGCGAACAGG
rnacentral:rRNA from 1 species